rnacentral:rRNA from 1 species
UCCACGCCCUAAACGAUGUACACUAGUUGUUGGAGUGCUAGUCACUUCAGUAAUGCAGUUAACACAUUAAGUGUACCGCCUGGGGAGUACGGUCGCAAGAUUAAAACUCAAAGGAAUAGACGGGGACCCGCACAAGCGGUGGAGCAUGUGGUUUAAUUCGAAGAUACACGAAGAACCUUACCUAGCCUUGAUAUCCUUGGAAUCUCUCAGAGAUGAGAGAGUGCUAGUUACUA